rnacentral:lncRNA from 1 species
UGGUGGUCAUCCUCACACCAGGUCCACACCUGGAGCACUGAACCAGGAGCAAUCAACAAAGAUGCUGUCUGAAUGUCACCUUCAUUUCUGAGCCCAUCAUUAUUGUUUCCCAGCCCUUCAUCAGUGUAGAAGUCAAUGAUGGUGGUAAGGCAGGACUGAUAUGAAAUGGGGACAAUUUGUCAAUACCUAUUCUUAUUCUUUAAACCCACUGUCACAUCUGUGAGGGACAGACCUGCAGAUAUUCUGAUCGAUUCCCUAUCAAAUUAACUCUCUGUUUUAUGUCAUAUCUCAUUGUCUGCCUCUUCGUUUCAUUCUCUGUCCUUUUCUUUCUCUGUCCUCUGCCUUGUCCCAUUCUCUCGUUUCCCCAGAUCACUCUGCCAGAAACCACUUCCGAAUGCAUCUGAAAAUUUAAGACAAUGGAUGCCACAGAACUCUCAUUUGGGAUCGUGAAUGUGCUCCAGAGCUUCCCUUCAACCUGAGCUGGUCUUAAUCCGCUGGACAAGAAUCCUGGCUUCGUCCCUCAGCCUCUGGAGCAUGGACCAGCCUGUGAAUACUGUUUCCUUUCUCCAUCGGAGAAUCCCUCAUUGCUGUGUUGCUAAGCAGCAUGGAGGUGACUUGAGGGGAACUGGAGGGGUGGUGAGUCAGUGUUACUGCCAGGAAGAUGCAUUUGGAUUGGCUGGAGAAUGGUUUCAAGCACAGACCAAUCUGUUUAGAUGGUCCUGUGGGAUACUCGGGUCCCGGAACACUGCUGAAGAAAUAAGGUGGACAUAGGAACUAAACUGAAAUUUACAGGAGUAUAUUUAUUGACAAUACAACAUCUUUUCCCCACUGAACCAAGUGAUACUGGCAGUGUCCAAAGUAUGGUUUGAAGUCCACCCAGGGGGACCUCUUGCAACACCAGUCCUAGAAUCCUGCACAUCAUUGCAUCUGCAGUGGGGCAACAACUGUCCAUCAAGAAUAGCCACUGGCCAAUCAGAAAGCUCAUAGGAGGAAGCAAUGAUGGUCCAAUUACUCUACCAUUGCUGAUCCCCAACAGAAUAUUUUCCAGUCUUUCCUUUUGGCAUUUGGAAAAAAUGCUGGUGAUUAUGCCAAUAUCACCAAUAAAGAGUAAGAA